rnacentral:rRNA from 1 species
AUUGAACGCUGGCGGCAGGCCUAACACAUGCAAGUCGAACGAGUGGCGGACGGGGGAGUAAUAUGUGGGAAACUGCCUGAUGGGGGGGGAUAACUACUGGAAACGGUCGCUAAUACCGCAUACUAGCGGAAGUGCCCAGAUGGGAUUAGCUAUUGGGUGGGGUAACGGCUCACCUAGGCGACGAUCCCUAGAUGGUCUGAGAGGAUGAACAGCCACACUGGAACUGAGACACGGUCCAGACUCCUACGGGAGGCAGCAGUGGGGAAUAUUGCACAAUGGGCGCAAGCCUGAUGCAGCCAUGCCGCGUGUAUGAAGAAGGCCCUCGGGUUGUAAAGUACUUUCAGUGGGGAGGCGUUACCGACAGAAGAAGCACCGGCUAACUCCGUGCCAGCAGCCGCGGUAAUAC